GGAAGUCCAUUUUCCCCUAGCAUUUGGUUUGAACGACAACAUCUUCUUGAGCACAAGGUCACCUUCUCUAAACACACGAGGUCUGACCUUCUUAUCAAAAGCUUUCUUUAUCCUUUGCUGAUAUAACUGACCAUGACACAUGGCAGUCAAUCUCUUCUCUUCAAUCAAAAUCAGCUGAUCAAAUAUGGUCUAACACCAUUCAGCCUCAGUCAACUUGGCUCCAUGAGCACGCGCAAUGAA
rnacentral:lncRNA from 1 species